rnacentral:tRNA from 1 species
GCGCCGGUGGUGUAAAGGCGUAGAGCAUUCCCGCCCGGUCAGAGGGAGGUGCGGGUUCGAGUCCCGCCUGACGCU